UACGAAGGGGGCUAGCGUUGCUCGGAAUCACUGGGCGUAAAGCGCACGUAGGCGGAUUGCUAAGUCAGGGGUGAAAUCCUGGAGCUCAACUCCAGAACUGCCUUUGAUACUGGCGACCUUGAGUCCGGGAGAGGUGAGUGGAACUGCGAGUGUAGAGGUGAAAUUCGUAGAUAUUCGCAAGAACACCAGUGGCGAAGGCGGCUCACUGGCCCGGUACUGACGCUGAGGUGCGAAAGCGU
rnacentral:rRNA from 1 species